GAUGAACGCUGGCGGCGUGCCUAAUACAUGCAAGUCGAGCGAAUGGAUUAAGAGCUUGCUCUUAUGAAGUUAGCGGCGGACGGGUGAGUAACACGUGGGUAACCUGCCCAUAAGACUGGGAUAACUCCGGGAAACCGGGGCUAAUACCGGAUAACAUUUUGAACCGCAUGGUUCGAAAUUGAAAGGCGGCUUCGGCUGUCACUUAUGGAUGGACCCGCGUCGCAUUCGCUAGUUGGUGAGGUAACGGCUCACCAAGGCAACGAUGCGUAGCCGACCUGAGAGGGUGAUCGGCCACACUGGGACUGAGACACGGCCCAGACUCCUACGGGAGGCAGCAGUAGGGAAUCUUCCGCAAUGGACGAAAGUCUGACGGAGCAACGCCGCGUGAGUGAUGAAGGCUUUCGGGUCGUAAAACUCUGUUGUUAGGGAAGAACAAGUGCUAGCUGAAUAAGCUGGCACCUUGACGGUACCUAACCAGAAAGCCACGGCUAACCACGUGCCAGCCGCCGCCGUAA
rnacentral:rRNA from 1 species